UGUUCUUCAAUUAAUACAAAGAGAAAGUAUUUUCAUUAUUUAUUCUAACUUAUUUUGACCUAAUAUGCCGCACCUGCACGAAAUGUUUGCUAAUCCGUCCUCCGUUUAAUUCUCUGAAGAGAAAAACUAACUAAAACGACGGAGAUAAUACAAAAACUUGAAAUAUGUGCGUUACGCUUUUUUAAGAUCACAAAAAUAAAUACCAUUUACAAAUAUAAAGUACAAAAAUUACGUGAAGGUAUGUAUUUCGACUGCACGCGGAUGCGUGAAGCCGACGAAGUGCGGUCAAACUAAACAGAAAUCAGUCUGCCAUUCUUAGUAAAUAUGUUUUAUCCAAA